AGAGUUUGAUCCUGGCUCAGGAUGAACGCUGGCGGCGUGCUUAACACAUGCAAGUCGAACGGGAAAUAUUUCAUUGAGACUUCGGUGGAUUUGAUCUAUUUCUAGUGGCGGACGGGUGAGUAACGCGUGGGUAACCUGCCUUAUACAGGGGGAUAACAGUCAGAAAUGGCUGCUAAUACCGCAUAAGCGCACAGAGCUGCAUGGCUCAGUGUGAAAAACUCCGGUGGUAUAAGAUGGACCCGCGUUGGAUUAGCUGGUUGGUGGGGUAACGGCCCACCAAGGCGACGAUCCAUAGCCGGCCUGAGAGGGUGAACGGCCACAUUGGGACUGAGACACGGCCCAGACUCCUACGGGAGGCAGCAGUGGGGAAUAUUGCACAAUGGGGGAAACCCUGAUGCAGCGACGCCGCGUGAAGGAAGAAGUAUCUCGGUAUGUAAACUUCUAUCAGCAGGGAAGAUAGUGACGGUACCUGACUAAGAAGCCCCGGCUAACUACGUGCCAGCAGCCGCGGUAAUACGUAGGGGGCAAGCGUUAUCCGGAUUUACUGGGUGUAAAGGGAGCGUAGACGGCAAGGCAAGUCUGAAGUGAAAGCCCGGGGCUCAACCCCGGUACUGCAUUGGAAACUGUCGGACUAGAGUGUCGGAGGGGUAAGUGGAAUUCCUAGUGUAGCGGUGAAAUGCGUAGAUAUUAGGAGGAACACCAGUGGCGAAGGCGGCUUACUGGACGAUUACUGACGCUGAGGCUCGAAAGCGUGGGGAGCAAACAGGAUUAGAUACCCUGGUAGUCCACACCGUAAACGAUGAUUACUAGGUGUUGGAGGGAUGACCCCUUUCAGGCCCGCAGUUAACACAAUAAGUAAUCCACUUGGGGAGUACGACCGCAAGGUGGAAAUUCAAAGGAAUUGACGGGGGCCCGCACAAGCAGUGGAGUAUGUGGUUUAUUUGACGCAACGCGAAGACCCUUACCAAGUCUUGACAUCCCUUGACGAUGCUGGAAACAGCAUUUCUCUUCGGAGCAAGGAGACAGGUGGUGCAUGGUUGUCGUCAGCUCGUGUCGUGAGAUGUUGGGUUAAGUCCCGCAACGAGCGCAACCCUUAUGGUCAGUUACUACGCAAGAGGACUCUGGCCAGACUGCCGUUGACAAAACGGAGGAAGGUGGGGAUGACGUCAAAUCAUCAUGCCCUUUAUGACUUGGGCUACACACGUACUACAAUGGCGUUAAACAAAGAGAAGCAAGACCGCGAGGUGGAGCAAAACUCAGAAACAACGUCCCAGUUCGGACUGCAGGCUGCAACUCGCCUGCACGAAGUCGGAAUUGCUAGUAAUCGUGGAUCAGCAUGCCACGGUGAAUACGUACCCGGGCCUUGCACUCACCGCCCGUCA
rnacentral:rRNA from 1 species